GGGGGGAUUCAGUGUACAUAGUAUGAUUUGAUGCUUUGAUGAUUAGGAUGAAAUGGAAUAGAUAGUCAAUAGUAUUUCAGUUUUGUACAGAAUAAAAUAUCGAGCGUAUUAAUUUUUUUUUAAGAAAAGAAUAAAACUCGUAUCCGUUUUAUGGGAAUCGAUUCUACAGUAGGUUUAAGUUUGACGUUGUACUAAAUUAAGCAACGUAUAGAAAGAACAUUCGAAGAUAUUCGUUUUAU
rnacentral:lncRNA from 1 species